AGAGUUUGAUCAUGGCUCAGAUUGAACGCUGGCGGCAUGCCUUACACAUGCAAGUCGAACGGCAGCACGGGGGCAACCCUGGUGGCGAGUGGCGAACGGGUGAGUAACGCAUCGGAACGUGCCCAGUAGUGGGGGAUAACCAGUCGAAAGAUUGGCUAAUACCGCAUACGACCUACGGGUGAAAGCGGGGGAUCGCAAGACCUCGCGCUACUGGAGCGGCCGAUGUCUGAUUAGCUAGUUGGUGGGGUAAAGGCUCACCAAGGCGACGAUCAGUAGCUGGUCUGAGAGGACGACCAGCCACACUGGGACUGAGACACGGCCCAGACUCCUACGGGAGGCAGCAGUGGGGAAUUUUGGACAAUGGGCGAAAGCCUGAUCCAGCCAUGCCGCGUGCGGGAAGAAGGCCUUCGGGUUGUAAACCGCUUUUGGCAGGAACGAAACGGUGCCGACAAAUACUCGGCGCUAAUGACGGUACCUGCAGAAUAAGCACCGGCUAACUACGUGCCAGCAGCCGCGGUAAUACGUAGGGUGCAAGCGUUAAUCGGAAUUACUGGGCGUAAAGCGUGCGCAGGCGGCUAUGCAAGACAGGUGUGAAAUCCCCGGGCUCAACCUGGGAACUGCAUUUGUGACUGCAUGGCUAGAGUUUGUCAGAGGGGGGUGGAAUUCCACGUGUAGCAGUGAAAUGCGUAGAGAUGUGGAGGAACACCGAUGGCGAAGCAGCCCCCUGGGACCUGACUGACGCUCAUGCACGAAAGCGUGGGGGAGCAAACAGGAUUAGAUACCCUGGUAGUCCACGCCCUAAACGAUGUCGACUAGUUGUCGGAGAUUCACUUCUUCGGUAACGCAGCU
rnacentral:rRNA from 1 species